UGACUCUGGUUUCUCUUCAUUACGCACAAGCCUUUCGCCUUUUACUAAAGACUUCCGUGGAGAGGAACACUUACGAGUUCAACGUAUUUUUGGAGCGGCUUUUGCUUCUU
rnacentral:snRNA from 1 species